rnacentral:sRNA from 1 species
CUACUGCUUCUUAAUAUCGGCCACCCGUUG